GGGCCUAUAGCUCAGCUGGGAGAGCGUUCGGUUCGCAUCCGAGAGGUCAAGGGUUCGAAUCCCUCUAGGUCCA
rfam:Faecalibacterium prausnitzii L2/6 draft genome.